rnacentral:lncRNA from 1 species
AAAUAUUUCAUCUUCUAAUGAACUCCUAUGUUGUGGUGAAGUCCUUAGGACUAUUUAGACUCGACAAAGGAGGAUUUAUCGUUUAGUCCUUAAAUCUGUUCGUGACCAAAUAAUACGUUGUUACCAAAGACGACAACGUUUAUCAAGCAUAGGUCAUUGUGUGCCAUAUAGAUUGGUUGUCUUCUUAACUAAUGAGUUUGGAGAUACUGGUAUGGCAUACAAGUGAGAUGUAAGGGUACAUCUGCACUGACCGACUCCGGAGCUAUUUCUGCUGUCAGGAUUUGCUCCGAUGAAAUAUGGGUAUAGAUAUCCCUCCGACCUGAGACCGCCACGGUGACUUGCAAAGAACUCACUGCACUUAGGCACUGGACUACCUGAAUUUCUAAUUCAAUGAUGAAAGGCUGCUGGGUGUAGUCAAGUACUUGACUUGUCGGUGCGUGUGUCAAGAUGGGAUUGACCACUCCAGUUUAGGAGCUAUGUACAGUCAUGUUUCAAUUUAGCAAAAUCUUGGCCAGGAUAGUCCUUGUGAGGAGUCACAGGACUGUUUGAGUUGAGCAUGAUUCGGAUGAUCUGAUCAAGGUUGACAGUUUAACUCUGAGUCGUCCUAAACACAGGGGUCAAAAGGAUGAAUUAUACAGUAACCAUAUUCAUAUAGGUUCUGAGUAUUGCGAUUGCGACUCUUCGACCUAUCCAGAUGUCGGGUACCAUUGCUAGAUGGUCACUUCGAUUAGUACAGGAAUUGGUUCCUGUGCUACCGGCUUAGGUUCGAACCUACGGAGUCACACACAUUAGAGGUUCCUAUCUGAUCUGAUGGCUGGUGUAGAAUCCUACAUGUUUGGGACUCAGUGAUCGAGAAUCAGGAUUCUCUGAUCAUGAGUUCCACACAUUAUGGGUACCGGGGUCAAGAGUCCCACUGGUUGGGACUUUUCGAUUAAGGUUACAUAUCGAUGAAUUCUGAUCCCCGAUUACCCAUCGAAUUUGGACUCAGUAUUUAUGAGAGAUUUAAUUAGUGAUUUGAUCGCUAAUUAACUCAAUUUGAUUAAGUAAUUAUUUUUGGAUCAAGUCCAUUUGAAUUAGAUUCAAUUGGGUUUGACCCGAUUAUGUUAAGAGUUGACCUAAUCGUCGAGAUGGUUUGGUCCCUGAUUUGAUCAGGGGUUGUGAAGCGAAAAUUUAGUGCAGGGACAAAAUGAUAAUUUUAAAAUUUUUUCAAAAUUACUAUUUUAUAGUAAAAUUAUUAAUUAAUCUCAUUAAUUAAUACUAAUUAACCCUACACUAGGAUCUAAAUAUGAUACAACAACAUGCAUUUAAAUUUGAAAUUCAAAUUUGAAUCAGAAGGGGCGUGGAUCUUUGUGCGUGGAAAAUGUUUCACGAGAAACCUUUUCUCGUGUAAGUAAUGUGGCGCACAAAAUGGAUAAGGAUGAAAGGGCAAGUGAUAAGUUAUCCAUUCAAAUUCAAACAUGCUUUGAAUUUGAAUGGCUAACUAAUUAUUUUAUCCAUCCAUAUGGUGCACAAAUGAGGGCGUGGGGAAGGGUUUUGUGUGAGAAAAAUUUCACGAGAAGUUUCUUCUCGUGAAUUCAAAUGGGUGCAAGGAAGUUGGGUGUCGCAGGGAAUUUAAAACAAGGUGGUUUGAUUCAAAUUGAGCCAACCUAGUUUAAAAUAGGUCAAGCACAAUUAGAUC